AACGAACGCUGGCGGCGCGCCUAAUACAUGCAAGUCGAGCGAGAAGGUGUAGCAAUACACUUGUAAAGCGGCGAACGGGUGAGGAAUGCAUGGGUAACCUACCCUCGAGUGGGGAAUAACUAGCCGAAAGGUUAGCUAAUACCGCAUACGUUCCCGGAACUUCGGUUUCGGAAAGAAAGCAAUACCGUGGGUAUUGCGCUCCUGGAUGGGCUCAUGUCCUAUCAGCUUGUUGGUGAGGUAACGGCUCACCAAGGCUUCGACGGGUAGCUGGUCUGAGAGGACGAUCAGCCACACUGGCACUGCGACACGGGCCAGACUCCUACGGGAGGCAGCAGUAAGGAAUAUUGCGCAAUGGACGAAAGUCUGACGCAGCGACGCCGCGUGGGGGGAUGAAGGUCUUCGGAUUGUAAACCCCUUUCGGGAGGGAAGAUGGAGUGGGUAACCACUUGGACGGUACCUCCAGAAGCAGCCACGGCUAACUUCGUGCCAGCAGCCGCGGUAAU
rnacentral:rRNA from 1 species